AAUUUAAAAAAUUAUUUUAUAUAAAAAUUUAAUUAAAUUAAUUAAAAUAUUUAAAAUUUUAUUAUUUUAAAGAAAAAUUUACAUUUAUUAUAGUUUAUUAGUACUGAAAAGGAAAUUAGUUAAAUUUUAAAAAGAAAAAUUUUUUUGUACCUUGUGCAUCAGGGUUUAUUAAAUAAUUAAUAAGUUUUUAUUAUUCUCGAAUUUAAAAGAGCUAAAUUAUUAUAAAUUUUAUUGUGUCAUAAAUAUUUAAAAUAUUAAUUUAGUAAUGAAACGUUAUUCGUUUUUAAAUAUAUCUAGUUUUUUAAGAAAAAAAUUAAAUUUUUUAGUUAAAUUUAAAAUUUUUAUUUAAAAAUUUUUUUAAUUUAGCUUAAAAUAAAUUAGGGGAUAAGCUUUGAUUUAUAUUGUUAUAAUUUAAAUAAAAUUUUAUAAUUUAUAGGAUUAAUAAUUUCUAUUAAUAAAAAUAUAUUAAAAUUUAUUAUUGAAAAAAUAAUAUUUUUAUUAAAUUUAACUUUUUUAUUAAAAUAAAAAAUUUAAUAUAAAAAUUUUUGUAAUAAUGAUAAAAUUAGUAUUAGAAUAUAUAAUUAUUUAUAAAUAUAUUUAUAUAAAGGAAAGGUUAAAUAAAGUAAUUCGGCAAAUAUAUUUUUCACCUGUUUAUUAAAAACAUCUCUUUUUGAAAAUAAUUUAAAGUAGGGCCUGCCCACUGAAGUAUUAAAGGGCCGCAGUAUUUUGACUGUGCAAAGGUAGCAUAAUCAUUAGUUUUUUAAUUGAAAGCUUGUAUGAAUGGUUUGAUGAGAAAAUAACUUUCUAUAUUUAAAUUUUUGAAAAUUUUAUUUUUAAGUUAAAAAGCUUAAAUUUUUUUAUUAGACGAGAAGACCCUAUAGAGUUUUAUUUUAUUAAUUUUUUAAGUUUUUAGAAUUUAAAAAUUUUAAUUUUUAAUAAAAUUUGGUUGGGGUGACUGAAAAAUUAAAUAAACUUUUUUUAUAUUUAUACAUAUAUUCAUGAAUAAUUGAUCCAUAAUAAUGAUUAAAAGAAUAAAUUACCUUAGGGAUAACAGCGUCAUUUUUUUUUAGAGUUCAUAUCGAAAAAAGAGAUUGCGACCUCGAUGUUGGAUUAAAGUUAAUUUUAGGUGUAGAAGCUUAAAAAUUUGGUCUGUUCGACCAUUAAAACUUUACAUGAUCUGAGUUUAAACCGGUGUAAGCCAGGUUGGUUUCUAUCUUUAUAUAGUUAAUAAAUUUUAGUACGAAAGGACCAAAUUUAUAAUUAAAAAUUUAUAUUUUGAAUAACAAU
rnacentral:rRNA from 1 species